GUUGUACUACAAUUGACACUGCAUCAUCAGUCUUUAAUUGCAUUUGUUCUUCUUUGGGCGUGACUUCAACAUAAGCAGUGGAGAAUUCAUUUAGAUCAUAUAUUCCAUCCGUGGGUAGAUGACUUUUCAAAAUCCGGUGAUUGUAAACUUCAUAAAGACGAAGUCUCGAAGCAUCUUCAGCAUUUAAAGGUACUUUUUGAGUAACCUGUCGAAGAAUGUCUUCCACAGUUCCUUCCUUGUCAACAUAAAACUCCAUCUGAGUUUCAUGCGAAAUACCAUUCGACAGGAAAUGCACCCGGAUUAAUUGCUUACGCUCCAGUUCACUAAGCGUAAUGUCCAAGACUUCAUAGAACAUAACCACAUUUUGGUUAUGAGAGUAGGUUGAUGGUAUCGCAUUUUGUAAGGUAAAUUUCGAAGGGUUACGAAUUACUGAACGAGGAGUGCGCGAAGGUAGAUGUGCCAUAGUAAACUGAAGAUAAUUAGGAUCGACAUUAAGUUUAUUGGCCACUGCUCGAGCCAUAUCAGUAUAAUUGGUAUGCGUUGUAAGCACCAAAUCAAAAACACCAUUGUUGGUAUCAUCGGAAUAACGAGGCUCAAAAGUAAUUACUACUCUAUGUGCCAUGAAAUCAUAGAGGUCAAGAGCUGAUUUGUAAGGGUGAGAGGUGUCCGAUGAAGAAUCAUGGACCAAUUUCUUCUCAAAACAUAUAAUGUCUCCCACUUGGAUCUCGGAUUUUUCAAAACUAGCAUUCGGAUCCAAAACAUCAACCAUGCCGGUUUUAAUUUCUUCAUAAUAUGUGAUAGGAACAUCAGAAGACCACUUUAAAUGUUCACGAAUCCACUCUGAAAGUGAAGAAAUGGGGCUAUUCUUUGAAACAUGUAGGUCGGCCAAACCGGAUAUUUGCUGAGUUUCAUAAUCGAAAAUCUUCAGAAAAAUGUAGGUGUCGAAAUCGUUAUCAUCCGUGGCACCAAAAUCCGCAAGUAGCUGAUUGUGUUCACUUAAGAAUUCCACAUAAACUCUCAUAUCCAUGUCUUUACGUAUAUGCAUAUCACAGAUCUGAUCAACGAGUAUAGUCUUUUUAUCAAGUGGAAGGUCAACUCUAACAGUUCGAUUUUG